rnacentral:rRNA from 1 species
GAGGGGCAUCACGGCGGCAGCGAUGCCGCUGGUGGCGACCGGCGCACGGGUGAGUAACGCGUAUCCAACCUGCCCCCAUCCCGGGAAUAGCCUCCUGAAAGGGAGAUUAACGCCCGAUGGUCCCAUGGCGGAGCAUUUUUCCAUGGGUAAAGUUUUACGGAUGGGGCUGGGGAUGCGUUCCAUUAGGAAGCAGGCGGGGUAACGGCCCACCUGUCCUGCGAUGGAUAGGGGUUCUGAGAGGAAGGUCCCCCACAUUGGAACUGAGACACGGUCCAAACUCCUACGGGAGGCAGCAGUGAGGAAUAUUGGUCAAUGGGCGGUAGCCUGAACCAGCCAAGUAGCGUGGACGAUGGAGGCCCUAUGGGUUGUGAAGUCCUUUUGCGCGGGGGUAAAGUGCGCCACGAGUGGCGCAUUGCAAGUACCGUGCGAAUAAGCAUCGGCUAACUCCGUGCCAGCAGCCGCGGUAAUACGGAGGAUGCGAGCGUUAUCCGGAUUUAUUGGGUUUAAAGGGAGCGUAGAUGGGAUGUCAAGUCAGUUGUGAAAGUUCGGGGCUCAACCUUGGAAUUGCAGUUGAAACUGACGUUCUUGAGUGCGGUUGCGGAAGGCGGAAUUCAGCGUGUAGCGGUGAAAUGCUUAGAUAUGCUGAAGAACUCCGAUUGCGAAGGCAGCUUUCCAAGCCGUUACUGACAUUGAUGCUCGAAGGUGCGGGCAUCAAACAGGAUUAGAUACCCUGGUAGUCCGCACGGUAAACGAUGAAUGCUCGCUGUCGGCGACAGACUGUCGGCGGCCAAGCGAAAGCGUUAAGCAUUCCACCUGGGGAGUACGCCGGCAACGGUGAAACUCAAAGGAAUUGACGGGGGCCCGCACAAGCGGAGGAACAUGUGGUUUAAUUCGAUGAUACGCGAGGAACCUUACCCGGGCUUGAAUUGCGCUGGACGGGGCGUGAGAGCGUCCUUUCUUCGGACCAGCGUGAAGGUGCUGCAUGGUUGUCGUCAGCUCGUGCCGUGAGGUGUCGGCUCAAGUGCCAUAACGAGCGCAACCCUUGCCGCCAGUUGCCAUCAGUUGAAGCUGGGCACUCUGGGGGGACUGCCAUCGCAAGAUGCGAGGAAGGUGGGGAUGACGUCAAAUCAGCACGGCCCUUACGUCCGGGGCUACACACGUGUUACAAUGGGGGAUACAGAGCGUUGCGCGCCGGCGACGUCGUGCGGAUCGCGAAAGUCCCCCUCAGUUCGGACUGGAGUCUGCAACCCGACUCCACGAAGCUGGAUUCGCUAGUAAUCGCGCAUCAGCCAUGGCGCGGUGAAUACGUUCCCGGGCC